UGGCCUGUAGCUCAGUGUCAGAGCGGACCCUAGAUUGGGGUCAGGUCGCAGGUUCAAGUCCUGCCAGGCCCACCA
rnacentral:tRNA from 1 species